rnacentral:rRNA from 1 species
AUGAGCAAGCCACGGCCACUCCUCGAGCUGAUGACGGCCGUGGACGCCGGCCUUGUAGCUGCCGCGGACGCCGACGGGGCUAGCGUGGCGUCCCGAUGCCGUGGGAGCCGCAGCCGCAGCCGCCAGACCGCGCCGGUGGUGGUGGCGGUGCCGCAGACCCCGCCCGCGGAGACCGACGCCAGCUUCGAGUUCAGCGCCGCGAUCAGCAACAGCUCGGCGUCGCCCGCCAGCAUGGUGUUCUCGGCCGGCCAGCUCCGGGCGCACCAGUUCCCCGCCGUGCGGUCUUCACCGGGCGGCAGCGAGGUGGCGUCGCCGGUGCUGAGCUCAUCCAUGGGUGGCACGGAGUCGGCGUCGACCGGGAGCAAGAAGCGUGUCAGCUUCACGGCGGAUGGUGCGGGGAAGACGGCGGCGAAGCCCGGCGGCUCGCAGAAGAAAGGCGGCGGCCUGCUGGGGUGCAUGGGGUCAGCGUGCGGGUUGUCGCGUGACGAGGUCGUGGAGCCGACCAUGAACGCUAAUCGUAAGGUUGUGUGCGCUUGA